AUUGAACGCUGGCGGCAGGCCUAACACAUGCAAGUCGAGCGGUAACACAGGGAGCUUGCUCCUGGGUGACGAGCGGCGGACGGGUGAGUAAUGUCUGGGAAACUGCCUGAUGGAGGGGGAUAACUACUGGAAACGGUAGCUAAUACUGCAUAACGUCGCAAGACCAAAGAGGGGGACCUUCGGGCCUCUUGCCAUCAGAUGUGCCCAGAUGGGAUUAGCUAGUGGGUGGGGUAACGGCUCACCUCGGCGACGAUCCCUAGCUGGGCUGAGAGGAUAACCAACACCACUGAAACGGAGAGACGGUCGCGAGUCCUACGGGAGGCAGCAGUGGGGAAUAAUGCACAAUGGGCGCAAGCAGGAUGCAGCCAUGCCGCGUGUAUGAAGAAGGCCUUCGGGUUGUAAAGUACUUUCAGCGGGGAGGAAGGCGAUAAGGUUAAUAACCUUGUCGGUUGACGUUACCCGCAGAAGAAGCAGCGGCUAACUCCGUGCCAGCCGCCGCGGUAAAAC
rnacentral:rRNA from 1 species